rnacentral:rRNA from 1 species
GACGAACGCUGGCGGCGUGCUUAACACAUGCAAGUCGAACGGAAAGGCCCUGCUUUUGUGGGGUGCUCGAGUGGCGAACGGGUGAGUAACGCGUGAGUAACCUGCCCUUGACUUUGGGAUAACUUCAGGAAACUGGGGCUAAUACCGGAUAGGAGCUCCUGCUGCAUGGUGGGGGUUGGAAAGUUUCGGCGGUUGGGGAUGGACUCGCGGCUUAUCAGCUUGUUGGUGGGGUAGUGGCUAACCAAGGCUUUGACGGGUAGCCGGCCUGAGAGGGUGACCGGCCACAUUGGGACUGAGAUACGGCCCAGACUCCUACGGGAGGCAGCAGUGGGGAAUAUUGCACAAUGGGCGGAAGCCUGAUGCAGCAACGCCGCGUGCGGGAUGACGGCCUUCGGGUUGUAAACCGCUUUCGCCUGUGACGAAGCGUGAGUGACGGUAAUGGGUAAAGAAGCACCGGCUAACUACGUG